rnacentral:rRNA from 1 species
CUUUUGUCAGGGAAGAAACGCUCUGGGCUAAUACCCCGGAGUAAUGACGGUACCUGAAGAAUAAGCACCGGCUAACUACGUGCCAGCAGCCGCGGUAAUACGUAGGGUGCAAGCGUUAAUCGGAAUUACUGGGCGUAAAGCGUGCGCAGGCGGUUGUGCAAGACAGAUGUGAAAUCCCCGGGCUUAACCUGGGAACUGCAUUUGUGACUGCACGGCUGGAGUGCGGCAGAGGGGGAUGGAAUUCCGCGUGUAGCAGUGAAAUGCGUAGAUAUGCGGAGGAACACCGAUGGCGAAGGCAAUCCCCUGGGCCUGCACUGACGCUCAUGCACGAAAGCGUGGGGAGCAAACAGGAUUAGAUACCCUGGUAGUCCACGCCCUAAACGAUGUCAACUGGUUGUUGGAAGGGUUCCCUUUCAGU